CGUUGCUGACCACUCUGAAGGUCACUUUGUGGUCACUUUGGCCUCCUUUCACCACCCCAGUGGUCACUUCCUCAAUGUCCAGCAGGGAUCCGGUGUCCAGCGGUCACUGCCCACCACUCUGGGGUCACUUUGCACCACUUCGGGGGGUCACUCCUCCCCACUUCAGUGGUCACUCCGCGGUCACUCUGACCUCCUUCCCACCACCCCAGCGGUCACUCCCUCAGUGUCCAGCAGGGAUCCAGUGUCCAGCGGUCACUCCCCACCACUUUGGGGUCACUUUGUGCCACUCUGGGGUCACUCUGUGCCACUUUGGGGUCACUUUGUGCCACUUUGGGGUCACUUUGUGCCACUUUGGGGUCACUCUGUGCCACUUUGGGGUCACUUUGUGCCACUCUGCGGUCACUCCCCACCACUUCGGUGGUCACUCCGCGGUCGCUCCGACCUCCUUCCCACCACCCCAGCGGUCACUCUCUCAGUGUCCAGCAGGGAU
rnacentral:lncRNA from 1 species